AUGCGGUACUCUGUUCUUGGCAGAUCCAUUUUAGGUACCUCAUCAUUUGACGGUACCCGUAAUGCUUCUGCUGAGAGCCGACCGUGAGCC
rnacentral:miRNA from 16 species